rfam:Schistosoma curassoni strain Dakar, Senegal genome assembly, scaffold: SCTD_scaffold0006314
GCACCGCCGACGAGUCCCAUACUAGGACGAAACGGCCGUUCAGUGC